UGGGGAAUAUUGGGCAAUGGGCGCAAGCCUGACCCAGCAACGCCGCGUGAAGGAAGAAGGCCCUCGGGUUGUAAACUUCUUUUAUCAGGGACGAAACAAAUGACGGUACCUGAUGAAUAAGCCACGGCUAACUACGUGCCAGCAGCCGCGGUAAUACGUAGGUGGCAAGCGUUAUCCGGAUUUACUGGGUGUAAAGGGCGUGUAGGCGGGUCUGCAAGUCAGAUGUGAAAUUUCAGGGCUCAACCCUGAACCUGCAUUUGAAACUGUAGAUCUUGAGUGAUGGAGAGGCAGGCGGAAUUCCGUGUGUAGCGGUGAAAUGCGUAGAUAUACGGAGGAACACCAGUGGCGAAGGCGGCCUGCUGGACAUUAACUGACGCUGAGGCGCGAAAGCGUGGGGAGCAAACAGGAUUAGAUACC
rnacentral:rRNA from 1 species